GCUUGGUAGUGCUGGAGCCAAGCUCUAGGGGUCUGCCAGUAGCAAAUGUUAUUGUAACUGUGUCAGACAGAGAAAAGGGAAAGAAAGUCUCAUACUUGGAAGUUAUCUUUCCUUGCAUGCUCAGAAGCUUCUGUCUGCUGCCCUGACCAGAGUGAUGGGCUGCAAAAUGUGACUGUUCUUCAUUUACUGCUGACAGGUAAUCUGGUGCUUCAGAAUGAGAGCAAAGGAGAGCAGCUGUAUCAAGUUGGGUAGCUGUGUAGGAAGUAGAGGGUCAUCUUGAUACGCAGAGGCGAAAAGUUGGCAGUUUGGAAGUAGGUUUCACAACUCUUCUGAAGGAGAAGAUGAGAUAGGUUCCUCUUCACUUUUCCAUCUCAGCUUGGUCUGUAUUACAUGGUUGACACAGCUCUUGAUACUGCAGCUUGUGUGGCACAGCAUGUGCUUAUGCAACAGGCCAUCCCAUGCUGUGCUGUAGGUAUGAAGAAAAGUUUAGUUGUAUGGAGAAAAUGCUUCUCACUUUGAAGAUCUCAUUUGAAAAGCUGAUAAAGAAAUGCCCUGAAAUUAAAGAUAUUCUCAGGUUCAGAGAACAAAGGGGGGAAGCACACAGACCCGAGAAAGAAAGCUCCUCUUGUGCGUGAGAGAGUAAAGGACACUUUGACUCACUUGAGAUCCCUCGAAAUGCUAAAAAAAGAAAGGGAAGAAAAAAGUACAAGAAAAGACACUCAUGGAACUGCUGAGGUGUGUGUGUGAGUUUCCAUUAAGACAGUCUUCAAGUAGGGGUCGCACUCACUUUGGACUUCUCACCUCAGUCAAGAUGAAAGAGAAAUGCUGGCUCUGCAACCUCAUGAAUGAAGGAAAAAAAUGAAAUCACCUUGCUCCCCUUCUGCAAAGCAGUCAUUAACCUCGCUAACAAGGAAGGAGGUGCUUUUUUUAAGCCCCAUGCCUGAGGGAUUAUACAUGCAAUUACUCUUAAUGUCAGCAUUGAUGUUUCUGAUUUUCUUUGCAAGCCAGUGCAGACUGGGCUCAGUUAGAUGAGCUAAGUAAUCCCAGUGGUAUCCUGGCCCCAACUGGAGCAUCUACCAAAUGGUGGGUCCAGCAUAUACUGUAAUGUCGGUGCAGACUGAAUUCCUGUAAUGACCCAUACCUGAUGGUAAUGUGCCUGAAAAAUGGCUAAGAUGACUGCUGUCAGAGGCGUAUGGGGCUUUCUCCUGACUUGCAGUACAUGCUCUUCAGGGUCUUUGGGUGCCAGUGGCAGAGGUGUACAUGAAAAGCAGGAAGUUUGUUUGAUCACAGCUGCAGAGCUCUCUUGCUUUCACUGU